AGCUCUAAGAUUAUUUAGCCUAAUAUGGGCAAUAUAAGCUAUUCCGAUCUUUAGAAGAAAUGAGCAGACGACUCUGUGACAAUGAAUGAGAGCU